ensembl:snRNA U1 U1 spliceosomal RNA
AUACUUACCUCGCAGGGGAAAUAGGAUGAUUGUGAAAGUGGCUUUCCCAGGGCGAGGCUUGUCCAUUGCACUCCAGAUAUGCUGAUCCCUGUGAUUUUUCCCAAAUGCAGGAAACCUGAUACAUAAUUUGUGGUAGUAGGGGACUGCAUUUACACUGUCCUCUU